CCAAUAGCGUAUAUUAAAGUUGUUGCAGUUAAAAAGCUCGUAGUUGAAUUUCGGAAUCAAUUUGUUGGUCGUGCCUCGGUACGUACUGGUAUUAUUGGUUUCUACCUUCUGAAGAACCUUGAUGUCAUUAAUUUGGUGUCUUGGGGAAUCAGGACUGUCACUUUGAAAAAAUUAGAGUGUUUAAAGCAAGCAUACGCUUGAAUACAUUAGCAUGGAAUAAUGAAAUAGGACGUUUGAUUCUAUUUUGUUGGUUUCUAGGAUCGACGUAAUGAUUAAUAGGGAUAGUUGGGGGCAUUAGUAUUCAAUUGUCAGAGGUGAAAUUCUUGGAUUUAUUGAAGACUAACUACUGCGAAAGCAUUUGCCAAGGAUGUUUUCAUUAAUCAAGAACGAAAGUUAGGGGAUCGAAGACGAUCAGAUACCGUCGUAGUCUUAACCAUAAACUAUGCCGACUAGGGAUCGGAUGAUGUUAAUUUUUUAAUGACUCAUUCGGCGCCUUACG
rnacentral:rRNA from 1 species